AUUGAACGCUGGCGGCAGGCUUAACACAUGCAAGUCGAGCGAGCGGCGGACGGGUGAGUAAUGUCUGGGAAACCGCCUGAUGGAGGGGGAUAACUACUGGAAACGGUAGCUAAUACCGCAUAACAUCCGAUUUGGCCAGUUUGGAUUAGCUAGUAGGUGGGGGAAUGGCUCAACUAGGCGACGAUCCCUAGCUGGUCUGAGCGGCGGACGAGCAACACGGGAACUGAGACACGGUCCAGAGUCCUACGGGAGGAAGCAGGGGGGAAUAUUGCAGAAGGGGCGCAAGCCUGAGGCAGCGAGGCGGCGUGUGUGAAGAAGGCCUGAGGGUUGUAAAGCACGUUCAGCGAGGAGGCGGUACUCGCAGAAGAAGCACCGGCUAACUCCGUGCCAGCAGCCGCGGUAAUAC
rnacentral:rRNA from 1 species